CAAACUGACUGAGCUCUAGUUAAGGCUCUUGCAAUUGUUUGUGUAUGUGUACGUGCGUGCGUGUGAGUGUAUGUGUUUGGGGGAGGGUACAUUGGAACUUUGUCCCCCCCGUUAGAAAAUCCUAUCUGCGCCCUUGCUAGUACGCGUAGAUAAUGGUUUGGUAAAUGAAUGGAGACACGCUGUGUGAUAAAUGACGGAUAAACACAGAAGAAACGAUAUGACUUCGUUUAUGAUCUUUUAUCUCCAGUACCAGCACCUCCCGACUAGGUUUAAUAGACAUAAACACGACUGGAUGCACAAGGGUGGAGCUAAAGGCUGUUAGCUGUAGCUAGCUCAAUGUAAACAACACACGUCACGUUAUUAGUCCGUGAUGAGGACAGUCACGUUGUUGGGGCGGAACUACAGCGGUCAACAUUUUGCACGUGGGCGUAUUAAGAGGAGUGAAUAACUUUCAGUCCUGUUGUUUACAGGUGAGAGGGUUACCUUUACGGAGAAAAGCAUCAAACUGACGCAGAGCUGACGCGUUGCUUCCGCUCUCCUGAGACACCGUGGGGAUCCGGACUGCCUCUGGGUGGAAAAAACAUCAGAUCCCGUCUUUGAGAGGCCGGCAGCAGCGAGCCAGCUGAAGUCCCGCGUUUACGUCCAGGGAGAAAGUCCUGAUGGCCGCUAUGGAGAAUAACACGAAUGCAGCCAGGAGCAAGCUGCAAACAGCAAGCUUCACAAUCCAGAUUGUACUCAUCUUUGACUCUGUCAUGGUAGCGUGUGGUGGGAGCAGGUAGCAGACAGACAGACAGACGGGGUUUGUGCUGGGUAGACUGGAGCCACCUGCUGGUCCACUCAUAUUUAACCCUAAACCUCUAAAUGGCACGUGGAGCUAUAAUAAAAUGAAGGUUUUUAAAUGUCUUCAGAGUAGAGAAUAACAAUCUGCCUCCAACACUGACUCAGUGUUUACUAACCAUUAUUCCAAAACCAAAGACCCAAUUAAUUAAUAACUAAAGAUCAAUAUGAUUGGAAACUGGUGGUUUUAAUACUUGCCUAAAUGAUUGAAAACAUUUUGGACACAGAUAUUGAUAAGAUGCAAGCAGGCUUUAUCAGAAAUAGACAUUUCUCUAAUAAUGUUGGACUAGUUUUAUUUCUACCUUUGAACUGGUGCCUGAUGACAGUUUUAUAAGAUCUCCUAUUUAAAAACAGACCAACUUUGGUGCAGAGUGGACUCCUACUGGAAAGCUGCUCAGCUGCAACCAAUUCCUCUCAAAAUACAGCUUUCCUGUCAGCAUGGACGCAAUUUGGGGGGGGGGGGGGGGGCAUGCCCCCCCCCCCCACACACACACACACACACUUUUUCCAAAGUCAAGUUUUGACCCCUGAACUUUUUACCAUCCAAAAACAGAAUUAUGCUGUAUUAAAUUGACACUGGUUGAGCUCUAGGACCAAGCGGAAAACAACCGUUUGUGUUGAAGCCUGUUUCCCAUUAGAGCAUAAUGUAAAGAUACCCCCCCCCCCCCCCCACACACACACACACACACACACACACACACACUUCUAAAGUGAAAAUUACAUCCAUGCCCGUCAGUCCCCAGGAAUCAUCAAUGGUGCUGAAUGCCAUGCCCCCAGGAACUUUAAUGCUGUUAAAACGGUGAUAAUUUGCCACCUACACAACUAACACUGCAGGUCCAACUUAAUCAGCAGUGGGGAGAUUUUGCUUUAUACAAGAACAGCAAUGAACAAGUGCAGGUUGUUCCAAAAAGCUACCGUUUCACAGGGAACAUCGCUAUGUUCUGGAUAUCAACUGGAAGGCAGUAUGGAUGAUGCCCAAUAAAUAUUUAAUAAAGCAAACAAAGAAAAUUCUUCAUGAAAUUUACCCUGCAAAGUAAUAUGUAUGGUAAAAUUUAAGAGACGUUUAAGAAACUAACUCGUCUUUUUUGGUACUGCCUUAUCACACAAAGGUUUUAAGACAAGUUUUAUUAUUCAUAUUUUUAAGGAAAAUGUGUUACUUUUAUUAAAGUCCCAAAAGUAUUUUUCUAAAACUUAAUUCUCUUAAAUUCUAUAUCCAUAAAUUUAAAUUUGCUAGUAAGAUACCAUAUUUUCCUCCUUUUUUUAAAGAUGCAAAACUAUUUAAUUUCACACUUGAACAAAAAGAUCCUCAAACAAGUGAUGUUUGUGGAUCUUUGCAUAUAUUUGAAUAAUUAAGCCCCCUGGUUGAAUGUUAACAUGUAUUCUACUGUAUUGUAUAUUUGUUCUGUUGAUGUAUAGUUCCUCUUUGCUAAAUAAAAAAAACAUUUUUAA